UAUACCAUGAUUUAUUUAUCCGUUCUCCUCUUGAGUGGUAAUGAGUGUUUCAAUAUACAGAUAAGUAGGGAAUACUACACUCAAAGGCCCCAAGAAAUACACAGACAUUUGUGACUGUAUCCAUAAUCAGUACAAAUGCAAAGUGAGAGGGGAUGAUCUGCUAAUGCAUAUCAUGUUUUGCACUGUUGUUGGUGAUAUGAUUUACCAAAUAGUGACCAACUCCUGGUAAAAUUUAUCAUAAAAUAAAGUACAAUCUUUCUUCAAUUGACCCUGGAAAAUUCACUGGAUAUUAAAUGGUAUAAGAAUUUACUUGUUUUUAGUUGUAAAAUGGAGCAAGGUUCUAGGUUCACAUAACUUUUUCAACUACACAAAUAUCUUGUGGGAUAUGUAGGGCAUCUACUCACCCUGGUCCUCGACCAUGAAAUAUCAUUGAGUGCCCUCUUAUCAUAGCACCAGCUAUCCUCACAGUUUUCCAAAAUAUCCUUGGGUGUGGUGCCACCUCUGCAGAAAUCCUGAUUCUAACUCAGCUCUCUGAUUUUACAGAUGAAGGAAUCAUCCCUUUGGGGAGGGAAGAAUUACUCACUGGAAAACAUAGGGAUUCAAACAUAAAGCCUGGACCAGGACCACAGACUUCUGACUCCUUAGGCUCAAUCCCAGUUGUAUCCACCACAGCAAUUGAAGCCAAGGAUUAGAGUCAGAUGAGACUCAGGAUUUAGAAGGCAAAACAAACAAACACACAAAUAAAAAGGAGAUUAAUUUUGGACCUUCAUGAAUGGUGCCAAAGUGAAAAAAAAAAAGGAGCUGCCUGGCAAUGGUCGCAGGUGAAGGUAAUGGUGAAGAAGAUGCAGAUAUUGGCAAUUUGGAGCAUUCGAUGAACUAAUUACAACAUUAACCUAAAGACCAGUGCAACAGAAAAUGGGCUAAGACAUGGAGCAAGGGGCAGAAUGAUUCUUGAAGAUGCUGAGUAACUUCUGUUGGUGCCCUCCUCGACUCUGGCAGGUGUCCAAGCCCUGUUGUUCUCCCUGCACAGGGCGGCUGAGCAGUGCUCUGUAAAUUAUGCACCAGUCCCACAAUGUCUGGGGAGCCUGUGGACCCAU